CAGGUAAAUGGAAGAACAGUCCCUCAGGAUUUCGAAAAUUUUGAAGGACCAAUAAGAGACCGACAAUGCAGAGAUGUAAUAUUUCUUUUGCUGUUUGCGACUUUUUGUGGCUUUCUGGGUUAUGUGAUUUUUCUUGCUGUGGAAAAGGGAGAACCGGAACGAUUGCUGUAUGGUUGUGACAGCUAUGGCAACGUGUGUGGAAAAAAAAAUGUAGAAAUCCCCGGUGCUCAUCAGUCGGGUCAAAACACCGUUGAUAAACCGUACCUUUAUUAUAAUCCUAACCGAACCCCUCCGAGAGAAUGUGUGAAAAGCUGUCCUGGUAGAAAUUACACGUAAGUAUGAGACU